CCUACGGGGGGCUGCAGUGGGGAAUAUUGGACAAUGGGCGCAAGCCUGAUCCAGCCAUGCCGCGUGGGUGAAGAAGGCCUUCGGGUUGUAAAGCCCUUUUGUCCGGAAAGAAAAGCACUGGAUUAAUACUUCGGUGUUCUGACGGUACCGGAAGAAUAAGCACCGGCUAACUUCGUGCCAGCAGCCGCGGUAAUACGAAGGGUGCAAGCGUUACUCGGAAUUACUGGGCGUAAAGCGUGCGUAGGUGGUUCGUUAAGUCUGAUGUGAAAGCCCUGGGCUCAACCUGGGAAUUGCAUUGGAUACUGGCGGGCUAGAGUGCGGUAGAGGAUGGCGGAAUUCCCGGUGUAGCAGUGAAAUGCGUAGAGAUCGGGAGGAACAUCUGUGGCGAAGGCGGCCAUCUGGACCAGCACUGACACUGAGGCACGAAAGCGUGGGGAGCAAACAGGAUUAGAUACCCGGGUAGUC
rnacentral:rRNA from 1 species